CCUACGGGCGGCUGCAGUGGGGAAUAUUGGACAAUGGGCGCAAGCCUGAUCCAGCAAUGCCGCGUGAGUGAUGAAGGCCUUCGGGUCGUAAAGCUCUUUUACCAGGGAUGAUAAUGACAGUACCUGGAGAAUAAGCUCCGGCUAACUCCGUGCCAGCAGCCGCGGUAAUACGGAGGGAGCUAGCGUUGUUCGGAAUUACUGGGCGUAAAGCGCACGUAGGCGGUUACUCAAGUCAGAGGUGAAAGCCCGGGGCUCAACCCCGGAACUGCCUUUGAAACUAGGUGACUGGAAUCUUGGAGAGGCGAGUGGAAUUCCGAGUGUAGAGGUGAAAUUCGUAGAUAUUCGGAAGAACACCAGUGGCGAAGGCGACUCGCUGGACAAGUAUUGACGCUGAGGUGCGAAAGCGUGGGGAGCAAACAGGAUUAGAUACCCCUGUAGUC
rnacentral:rRNA from 1 species